ACGAGGUUAAGAUACUAAGGGCAUACGGUGGAUGCCUUGGCGCCAAGAGCCGAAGAAGGACGCGGAAAGCUGCGAAAAGCUCCGGGGAGCCGCAAGCAGGCUUAGAUCCGGAGGUGUCCGAAUGAGGCAACUCAGCCGGAGUAAUAUCCGGCUACCGUGCACUGAAUAGAUAGGUGUACGGGGGGAACCGGGGGAACUGAAACAUCUCAGUACCCCGAGGAAAAGAAAGCAACAGCGAUUCCCUGAGUAGCGGCGAGCGAAAGGGGAGGAGCCUAAACCAUACCUGUGUAAACCUGCCGGUGUUGCAGGUAUGGGGUAGAGGGGCAAAUCAGGCAGCGCGGCAGAGCUGCCAGGGAGUAAGAAACCUUAUCUAUAGGCGAAGAGGACUGGAAAGUCCCGCGACACAAGGUAAAAGCCCUGUAGCCGAAAUAGAUGAGGCUCCCGAUUUGACCCCGAGUACCACGGGACACGAGGAACCCUGUGGGAAUCCGGGAGGACCACCUCCCAAGGCUAAAUACUCCUUGGCGACCGAUAGUGAACUAGUACCGUGAGGGAAAGGUGAAAAGCACCCCGGGAGGGGAGUGAAAAAGAACCUGAAACCGUGUGCCUACAAGCAGUCAGAGCCCGAUUCGAGGUUCGAAGUUGGAGGUUCGAGGUUGGAUGGUAGGGGGUAAAAAGUAGGAUGAUAAAAAGCUAUAAAGAUUUAGAAAUCUAUCAGCUAUCCUACAAAUUAGCCCUAGAGAUCCAUCAAUUAACCUUCAACUUUCCACGGAGUGAACUGUAUGAGCUGGGUAGCCAGUUACGAAGAGCUGUAAUGUCAAUACCAUUAAACAUAGCCGAAGGAUAUGGUUUAAAGAGUUAUCAGAAUGCAUUUAGGAAGCAUCUGAUGAUUGCAAUAGGAUCCUGUAAUGAAGCAAUGGUAUUGUUAGACAUGACAAGAGAUUUAGGCUAUCUAGAUAAAGAAAAGCAUCAAAAUUACACUGAACAAUACGAUAAGCUGGGACGCAAGAUAUAUAAGCUCAUACAGACGUGGAAAUAAGGCUGAAGGUUCGAACUUCGAACAUCGAACUUCGAACCUCGACGGGUAAUGGCGUGCCUUUUGUAGAAUGAACCGGCGAGUUACGGUAGCAAGCGAGGUUAAGGCGGGGAGCCGGAGCCGAAGCGAAAGCGAGUCUGAAGAGGGCGAAAAGUUUGCUGCCGUAGACCCGAAACCGGGUGAUCUACCCAUGUCCAGGGUGAAGCGGGAGUAAAGUCUCGUGGAGGCCCGAACCGACCGACGUUGAAAAGUCGGCGGAUGAGGUGUGGGUAGGGGUGAAAUGCCAAUCGAACCCGGAGAUAGCUGGUUCUCCCCGAAAUAGCUUUAGGGCUAGCCUCAGGGGAUGAGUUAUGGAGGUAGAGCACUGAAUGGGCUAGGGGCCUGAGCAAGGUUACCGAACCUUAUCAAACUGCGAAUGCCAUAACUUGGACCCUGGGAGUCAGACUAUGAGGGAUAAGCUUCAUAGUCGAGAGGGAAACAGCCCAGACCGCCGAUUAAGGUCCCGAAGUACAGGCUAAGUGGGAAAGGAUGUGCAGCUGCAUAGACAACCAGGAUGUUGGCUUAGAAGCAGCCAUCAUUUAAAGAGUGCGUAAUAGCUCACUGGUCGAGUGGUUGUGCGCCGAAAAUGUCCGGGGCUAAGCCUGUCACCGAAAUCGCGGAUUCGCUUGAGUCACCAGUGUCCUAUAAGGCGAACAGGGAAAGGAAGGAGAUUUAGUCAAAACCGACCUUAAGAAAGGAAUAAUGAGGUUUUGACUAAAUGCCAACAGCUAAGCCUGUCCGUCAGAUAGGGUAGCGGUGACUCAAGCGAAUGGUAGGGGAGCGUUCCAUGGGCGGAGAAGGCAUACCGAGAGGAGUGCUGGAGCGCAUGGAAGUGAGAAUGCCGGUAUAAGUAUGCGAAAAGGCAGGUGAGAAUCCUGCCCGCCGAAAACCUGAGGUUUCCUGGGGAAGGCUCGUCCGCCCAGGGUAAGUCGGGACCUAAGCCGAGGCCGAAGAGGCGUAGGUGAUGGACAAUCGGUUGAAAAUCCGAUACCACCAUACAACCGAUAUUACGAAGGGGUGACGCAGGAGGCUAGGGAGAGCCGGUGAUUGGAAGGACCGGUCCAAGCCAGUAGGGAGUGAGGCAGGCAAAUCCGCCUCACGGAAAUCCUGAGAGGUGAAGGGGAGCCCGUAAGGGCGAAGCUUCUGACGCCAAACUGCCGAGAAAAGCCUCUAAGGAGGGGGUAUGGUGCCCGUACCGGAAACCGACACAGGUAGGUGAGGAGAGAAUCCUAAGGCGAGCGAGAGAACCCUCGUUAAGGAACUCGGCAAAAUGACUCCGUAACUUCGGGAGAAGGAGUGCCGCUAGAUGUGAAGGGCCUUGCGCCUGGAGCAUAGAGCGGUCGCAGAGAAGAGGCCCAAGCGACUGUUUACCAAAAACACAGGUCCCUGCCAAAGCGAAAGCUGACGUAUAGGGGCUGACGCCUG
rnacentral:rRNA from 1 species